rnacentral:rRNA from 1 species
GUGGGGAAUCUUCCGCAAUGGACGAAAGUCUGACGGAGCAACGCCGCGUGAGUGAAGAAGGUUUUCGGAUCGUAAAGCUCUUUCGUUAGGGACGAACGUGCUCUUUGUGAAUAAUGAGGAGUAAUGACGGUACCUAAAUAAGAAGCCACGGCUAACUACGUGCCAGCAGCCGCGGUAAUACGUAGGUGGCAAGCGUUGUCCGGAAUUAUUGAGCGUAAAGCGCGCGCAGGCGGGAUAUCAAGUCUGUCUUAAAAGUGCGAGGCUCAACCGCGGGAGGUGACAGAAACUGGUAUGAUUGAGUGUCGGAGAGGAAAGUGGAAUUCCAAGUGUAGCGGUGAAAUGCGUAGAGAUUUUGAAGAACACCAGUGGCGAAGGCGACUUUCUGGACGAUGUCUGACGCUGAGGCGCGAAAGCUAGGGGAGCGAACGGGAUUAGAAACCCUGGUAGUCC